rnacentral:rRNA from 1 species
AGAGGUGGUGCAUGGCCGUCGUCAGUUCGUACUGUGAAGCAUCCUGUUAAGUCAGGCAACGAGCGAGACCCACGUCCACAGUUGCCAGCAUACCAUCCGGGGUGAUGGGUACACUGUGGAGACCGCCGCUGCUAAAGCGGAGGAAGGAGUGGGCAACGGUAGGUCAGUAUGCCCCGAAUCUCCCGGGCUACACGCGGGCUACAAUGGUUGGUACAAUGGGCAUCUACCCCGAAAGGGGAAGGAAAUCUCUUAAAGCCAAUCGUAGUUCGGAUUGAGGGCUGCAACUCGCCCUCAUGAAGCUGGAAUCCGUAGUAAUCGCGUUUCAACAGAACGCGGUGAAUACGUCCCUGCUCCUU